AGGACUCCAAAGAUUGAGUUGAGAGGUCAUUGAAUCCUUUUAUUCCUCUUCCUAAUGUGGCUACUAUCAAUUAUCUCCUUUCUCUGCUUUUCAUUAGCAUUUAUCUCUUUACUAAUUGGCCUAUCAGUGGUUGAGCCCAGCUUGUUAGAAGUGCAAGGUGUAGGCUCUGACCCUAACAAUUCCAUUAAAAGAAGGAUUUAAAAGGAGUAACAUUUUGAUUCUUUUGAUUCUGUGAGUGUUUGUGCUUUCCCUGAACAGGAGUCCUUGGAAGACCUUCAGUUCUAAUUCUUCUGGUUAACUCCUUCUCAAAGCUCUCACAUAUUGGGGACUAUCUUAGUUAGAGUUUCUAUUGCUGUGAAGAGAUACCAUGUCCAUGGCAACUCUUAUAAAGGAAAACAUUUAAAUGGGGACAGCUUACAGCUUCAGAUGUUUAGGUCAUAAUCAUCACGGCGGGAAGCUAGGCAGCAUGUAGGCAGACGUGGUGGUGAAGAGGUGCUAAGAGUUCUACAUCUUGAUCCACAGGCAGCAGGAAGUGAACUGAGUCCCACACUAGGCAUAUCUUGAGAAUGAGACCUCAAAGCCCACCCCCACAGUGACACACCUCCUCCAGCAAAGCCACUCCUCCAACAAGGCUACACCUCCUAAUAGUACCACUCCCUAUAGGUCAAGCAUUCAAACACAUAAGUCUGUGGAGGCCAUACCCAUUCAAACCACCACAGGGACUGAUCAGCUUCUCAUUUGCCCUCAAAAGUCCUGGUAGAGUUAUUAUGUAACUGUUAGAGAAGCCUUUCAAGGAGAUACCUUCAUCAAACCUUGGGCUAUCCAAGUGCUACCCUCACCACACUCACAUAUAUGAAACCAUCUGCCAGGGUGGCACCUUCCAUGGUAGACUGGGCUCUUCCACAUCAAUCAUUAAUCAAGAAAAUUUCCCCACAGAUUCCCAUAGGCCAAUCCAAUUGAGAGAAUUCCUUGGUGUUGUUUGAAUCUUAGAUGGUCUUUUAAUAAAAUAUCACCCAGAGCCAACUGUCAGGGUGGAAGCUGAAAGAUCAGAGAAGCAGAGCAGGCCACAGCCAACCUCACCUUGCCAACUACUCAGCUGAUCCUGAUUCGUCACACCUUGUAUACCUUUCUCUGCCCAAACAUCACUUCCUGGGAUUAAGGCACAUGUGUUUCCAGUACUGGGAUUAAAGGUGUAUGUCAUCACUGCCUGAUCUGUUUCCAGUGUGGCCUUGAACUCACAGAGAUCCAGAUGGAUCUCUGCCUCCCAAGUGAUAGGAUUAAGGAUGUAUAAUGCAUGAGGACCAGGAACUAGAAGCUUUUAAGUGAGGACUUGAGAUAAGCCCUGCACUUUCGCAUUAUGCAGAGACUGGACAACAAAUGAUACAGCUACCUCUCCCAGGACUUGACUAUUAACCCAAAAUUUUUCUUUUCAGGAUUCCCCAAAGAUGCUUUCACCCACAAACAGCAGGAAGCAAUUUUAAGGACAUGAUGCCCUCAUUCCCAAGAGGUGUCUAGGGGAAUUUAAAAUACCACGUUGUAAUUCAAAUUGUUAUCUAUUUCGGCAUAAGAGGCACUUACUGAGCAUAUACUAUGUGUGUAAUUUGACACAGUUGCACGACUCAGUCUUACUCACACCCUUCUAGGCCCCUUUGCAGAGCUGGCACCAGCAUGAAGAAAGAGGGUGCUUACCCCCUGAGCAUCAAUGUAAGGUUCCAUCCCAGUCACCUGAACACCCUAGUCUAGAUCCUUCCAGAAACUGAGUAGACCAGAACAGAACGAUAACGUAUUCAAAUUAGCAGACUACGGGGAAAUACUCAGCAUCUGUAGGAGGUCAAAGCUGGGGGCCCAGGGGGGCUGUGGAUCUUGGCAUUCAUUAAUUCUUUGGAACAAGUAGACUUGCCCAGCCAGUCAGCCUUGAACAUGAAUAUUUUGAGCAAGAAGAUACGACUUUAUUGCAGGGAGACAGCUGUACAGGAACAGCUCAUUAAAAUGACUUUGAUGGGCAGGAAGGAGAGAGUGAGCUAUUUCCCACAGCACAGCAAGAAUCUAAGUGCAGAAAAUGAUGAGAUCUGCAAAGCUCCGAAUUCCUACCACCCAUGUCUUCCAGAACUGUCAGCUUACCCAACACUCAAGGUGCCUGAAUGAUCUCAGUGAGAAGACAACUCAGACUCGUUCUUCCCGGAAGUGUUCACAGAUGUGCAUGCUGGGGGUCCCUGGCAAGCACACAGUGGGACAAUGUAUCAGAAAUAAAUCCCAGGCAGAAGCAAUACCACCUCCACCUCUGCUCUGGUGAGGGCCCUGACCCGGCUCCUGUAAAAAACUCUUCCAAAUCUAACCAUUGUUCAUUGACUCUACUGCUCUUCAGAAUUUAUAUAGCCAGUCUGUAUAAAUUUAUAUAGCCAGUCUUUUUUUUUUCUUUAAACAAAACAUCUGUCAUUUAUUUAAUUAAAAUGUUGUACUGUA